AAUGGUGGCGACCGGCGCACGGGUGCGUAACGCGUAUGCAACCUACCUUUUACUGGGGUAUAGCCCGAAGAAAUUCGGAUUAAUCCCCCAUAGCACUGAUAAUUCGCAUGAUGAAUCAGUUAAAGUUUCGGCGGUAAAAGAUGGGCAUGCGUCCUAUUAGCUAGAUGGUGAGGUAAUGGCUCACCAUGGCUACGAUAGGUAGGGGGCCUGAGAGGGUGGUCCCCCACACUGGUACUGAGACACGGACCAGACUCCUACGGGAGGCAGCAGUGAGGAAUAUUGGUCAAUGGGCGCAAGCCUGAACCAGCCAUGCCGCGUGCAGGAAGAAUGUCCUAUGGAUUGUAAACUGCUUUUAUUUGGGAAUAAACCCCCCGACGUGUCGGGGUCUGAAGGUACCAAAUGAAUAAGCACCGGCUAACUCCGUGCCAGCAGCCGCGGUAAUACGGAGGGUGCAAGCGUUAUCCGGAAUCAUUGGGUUUAAAGGGUCCGCAGGCGGGCAUAUAAGUCAGUGGUGAAAGCCUACAGCUCAACUGUAGA
rnacentral:rRNA from 1 species